UUAUGAUAUAAUUACAUUGUUUUAGGUAGACAUGACAAUAAAUAGAGGUGCCACGAGCUAGUCUUGUAUGGAUGACGAUUUGGCCGGAUGAUUUGAUGAUGUUUGUGCCAGAUAACAAUGCAUAUACAAUAUUAAUGUCAUUAAGCUGAUAUACAACAACCCAUGACCGAGCUACAAGAAGAUCCCUGCUGAGAGCAGAGAGUGAUUGUUUUAGAAGAGAAAUUUAUAUGGGAGAAGAUUCAUGAUGCCAUGAUCAAGAAGAUCUUCGACCAUUAGAUGUAACACCCUUACCACCAGAAUGUCACGCUUUCGGUUGCGCUAUUCUAAUAGUGAGGAUAUUACGAAUUCUUCUAUAUAUAAUAAUAAUAAGUAGGAGUCUCUACUUGAAAACCUUAUUGACUUUACUUUGAAAAAUCGGAAAUAUUUUUCUAUAUAUAAUAGUUAUAUA